rnacentral:rRNA from 1 species
UGCCAGCCGCCGCGGUAAUACGGAGGGCACAAGCGUUGUUCGGAAUCAUUGGGCGUAAAGCGGGUGUAGGCGGCUUGGCAAGUCGAGUGUGAAAUCCCAGGGCCCAACCCUGGAACUGCAUUCGAAACUGUCUCGCUAGAGUCCCGGAGAGGAUGGCGGAAUUCCCGGUGUAGGGGUGAAAUCCGUAGAUAUCGGGAGGAACACCAGUGGCGAAGGCGGCCAUCUGGACGGUGACUGACGCUCAGACCCGAAAGCGUGGGGAGCAAACAGGAUUAGAUA